AAACCAACAGGGAUUGCCUCAGUAACGGCGAGUGAAGCGGCAAAAGCUCAAAUUUGAAAUCCUCCGGGAAUUGUAAUUUGAAGGUGGUCUCAGUUAGUUCAAACAUUCUUAAGUCCAUUGGAAAAUGGCGCCAUGGAGGGUGAUAGCCCCGUAAAGAAUCCCGUUUUGUUCUAUUUUCUUUGACCACCAAAGAGUCGAGUUGUUUGGGAAUGCAGCUCUAAGUGGGUGGUAAAUUCCAUCUAAAGCUAAAUAUUGGCGAGAGACCGAUAGCGAACAAGUACAGUGAUGGAAAGAUGAAAAGCACUUUGAAAAGAGAGUGAAAAAGUACGUGAAAUUGUUGAAAGGGAAGGGCUUGCAAGCAGACACAACCUUUUGGUUGGGCCAGCAUCGGGGCGAGGGGAAGGAAAAAAGAAAAGGAAAUGUAACUCUCGAGUAUUAUAGACCUCUUCCAAAACUUCCAUCUUCAUCCCGAGGCCUGCGGAUUCAUCCUAGGAUGCUGGCGUAAUGGUUGCAAGUCGC
rnacentral:rRNA from 1 species